GACGAACGCUGGCGGCGUGCCUAAUACAUGCAAGUUGAGCGCUGAAGGUUGGUACUUGUACCAACUGGAUGAGCAGCGAACGGGUGAGUAACGCGUGGGGAAUCUGCCUUUGAGCGGGGGACAACAUUUGGAAACGAAUGCUAAUGCCGCAUAAAAACUUUAAACACAAGUUUUAAGUUUGAAAGAUGCAAUUGCAUCACUCAAAGAUGAUCCCGCGUUGUAUUAGCUAGUUGGUGAGGUAAAGGCUCACCAAGGCGAUGAUACAUAGCCGACCUGAGAGGGUGAUCGGCCACAUUGGGACUGAGACACGGCCCAAACUCCUACGGGAGGCAGCGGUAGGGAAUCUUCGGCAAUGGACGAAAGUCUGACCGAGCAACGCCGCGUGAGUGAAGAAGGUUUUCGGAUCGUAAAACUCUGUUGGUAGAGAAGAACGUUGGUGAGAGUGGAAAGCUCAUCAAGUGACGGUAACUACCCAGAAAGGGACGGCUAACUACGUG
rnacentral:rRNA from 1 species